rnacentral:tRNA from 1 species
UAGCUCAGUGGCAGAGCACUUGCCUAGCAUGCAAAAAGCUCUGGGUUCAAUCCCUAG